rnacentral:rRNA from 1 species
AUACGAAGGGGGCAAGCGUUGUUCGGAAUAUCGGGGCGUAAAGCGCACGUAGGCGGAAUGUUAAGUUAGAGGUGAAAUCCCAGGGCUCAACCCUGGAACGGCCUUUAAUACUGGCAAUCUAGAGACCGAGAGAGGUGAGUGGAAUUCCGAGUGUAGAGGUGAAAUUCGUAGAUAUUCGGAGGAACACCAGUGGCGAAGGCGGCUCACCGGCUCGGUACUGACGCUGAGGUGCGAAAGCGUGGGGAGCAAACAGGAUUAGAUACCCCAGUAGUCC